CGCAAUAGUGGAAAGAGCCAAGCAAGACAUGAAGUCGACGUUAACAGAAGAGCCGUCUCUGCCUGCUCCCGAAGCCUACAAGAGCGAAAUUGUUUCUCUAGUCCGGAAUCACGUGGACGAAAGCAUCCUAGCCGAAAUGCCCAGCUUUGCCACGCUGAAGUCAAGUAUGUACAGGGUAAAGCGGCGUCACGUUCCCCCCUUACCUGCAACGGCUGAGGAGGUUCGCCUGCAGGGUGACAACGUCAAGACAGUAGACGGCAAGCCUUUUCUGCUUUUUGACGAAGCGUGUGCCGUGGGACGCAUGAUUUGCUUUGCGACCGAAGAUGGACUGAAGCACUUAGAGGAAGCAAAUGAACUGUUCGUAGACGGGACGUUCUUCGUUUGCCCAUCAGUUUUCUCCCAGCUCACGACCGUCAGCGUCGUUGCGGGGGGUAUCCAUUGUACGGUAGCGUACAUUCUUCUCCCAGGAAAAUGGAGGGAUGUAUAUGAUGCUGCCCUGUCUGAGCUUGUGCGCUGUAUGGUUGGGCUCGGAUUUUCCUGUCCUGCACCGACAUUUGUGCGAAGCGACUUCGAAACAGCCCUCAUACAGGCACUGACUGACACGGGCUUUCCCCAACUCAAGACAUCGGGGGUGUCAUUUUCAUUUCGCACAGGCUGUGUGGCGAAAUGUGCAGCGUCUAGGCCUGUCUGCAGCUUACAUGAACGAUGCAAGUGUACGCAGCUUCAUCAGGAAGUGCAUCGCAAUCGCCUUCGUUCCGCCGCCGUCGGUACACGCGGCAUGGAGAAUGGUGAAGGAAGAAGCACCCACAACGGACCAAGGGUCAGACUUCGUACGGUAUUUUGAGGACACCUGGAUGAUCGGCCGCUAUGACACCACCCAAUGGAAUCAGUAUGGGAACCGCGGGGCCCGGACCAACAACAUGAAGGAAGCAUGGCACAGGAAAAUCAACAACGUCGCGAGAACGGGCCACCCGAACAUCUACAAGUUUGUGGAGAUCCUGAAGCGCGACGAGGCGGAAGUCAGGACAGCGCUACUGCAAGCACGCAAUGGAGCAGAGCAAAGAAAGCGUCAGAAGAAGUGGGAAAGGAAGGAUUCCAACAUUGCAAGCCUGGAACAACAGCUACAGUCAAGAACGCUUACCCUUGAAUCGUACCUUAGUGCAUGUAGACAAUUUUGUGGCAUAUAAGUUGCAUUGUGUAAAGAAAAUAAA